GACGAACGCUGGCGGCGUGCUUAACACAUGCAAGUCGAGCGGUAAGGCCCUUUCGGGGGUACACGAGCGGCGAACGGGUGAGUGACACGUGGGUGACCUGCCCUCAGCUCUGGGAUAAGCCUGGGAAACCGGGUCUAAUACUGGAUAUGACUCCAUGACGCAUGUUGUGGGGUGGAAAGCCUUGUGCGGCUGAGGAUGGGCCCGCGGCCUAUCAGCUUGUUGGUGGGGUGAUGGCCUACCAAGGCGACGACGGGUAGCCGGCCUGAGAGGGCGACCGGCCACACUGGGACUGAGACACGGCCCAGACUCCUACGGGAGGCAGCAGUGGGGAAUCUUGCGCAAUGGGCGAAAGCCUGACGCAGCGACGCCGCGUGAGGGAUGACGGCCUGGUGUAAC
rnacentral:rRNA from 1 species